rnacentral:lncRNA from 1 species
UAGUUGAACAUUUGCCUAAAACUUUUUGACCCGCAGUAUCUCAAAUGGUUGACUGUCUGCCGGCAAAAGGGGGUAUCACUAUUCAGGAAGUCAUACUCUACAACCUAUUAAGUUUCAUCAAAAUUGGUGGAUUCCACUUGGGGGAACCUCUCCUUGUUAGUCUUUUAAAACUUUUGAAAAUUUGUGGAAGUGAAGGAAUAGCAGAAGGGUUUUUCUUUGAUAAAAUUAAAAUUAUAUAUAUAUUUAGCUAUCAAUAAAUUCAUCUUGAAUAAACAAAUCAACUUGAUGGAAGUCUAAGAAAUUAUUUGUGAUUGUACUAAAUUAUCAAUUUGCUAUUUGUAUUUCAAAAUUUUUAGUAUUUCUCUCUGCACUUAGUUUGUACAAUGAAACCUCUUUAGGUUGGACACAUUUGGUUCCUUCAAAAUGUGUUCAGCUUAGGUGCUAACUUACAAGGAGAGGGCGCGAGGGCCGGAAAACGGAUUGGAACGAG